GACGAACGCUGGCGGCGUGCUUAACACAUGCAAGUCGAACGGUGAAGCGCCUUCCUUUUUGGUGGGUGUGGAUGAGUGGCGAACGGGUGAGUAACACGUUAGUAACCUGCCCCCUUUUUCUGGAUAACCGCAUGAAAGUUUGGCUAAUACGGGAUAUUCUGGGUCUGUCGCAUGAUGGGUCCGGGGAAGAUUUUGUUUCGGUGGGGGAGGGGCUCGCGGCUUAUCUGUUUGUUGGUGGGGUGAUGGCCUACCACGGCGGUGCCGGGUGGCCGUCCUGAGAGGGUGGACGGUCAUAGUGGGACUAAGACACGGAGCAGACUACGACGGGAGGCAGCAGGGGAGAAUAGUGCACAAGGGGCGCAAGGCUGAAGCAGCGACGCGGCGUGAGGGAAGGAGGCCGUCGGGUUAUGAACCUCUUUCGCGAGUGAAGCAGGCCGGCCUAGUUUGUGGGUGGGUUGACGGUAGCUGGAUAAGAAGCGCCGGCUAACUACGUG
rnacentral:rRNA from 1 species